rnacentral:pre_miRNA from 1 species
AAUCUAGGAGGCAGGUGCUCACUUGUCCUUCUCCAUGGUUGGAAAAUACAGGGAGGAGGCCAUAGUGGCAACUGUCACCAUGAUU